rnacentral:lncRNA from 1 species
GUCCUGAAGAAAGAGAGUUGAUAUACUGCAACCAGCAUACCAUGGCAAAAGCAGAUCUGGAGAGCAAAGCAGUUCUUGCCGAGACACAAACUUCUAUUCUUCCAUGAUGCAAACAUAAGAAUGAUAAGACAAGAAAACUGGGAAAUUUGUUACAACAGUAUGACUCACCAGUUAUUAAUACCAUAUUUAGUGAAGAUGACCAGAAAGCUAGUGGAGGAAUACAGACUUCUUUGUUUGAAGAAAUAAACCUUAGGAAGAUGUAGUUCCAUGUAUCACAUGAAUAAACAAUUUGAAAAGUUAUUGAAGCAUCUGCAUUGGCCAUCACAUACUGGACAGCAACUUUUUAGAUCUGGACCACGCUGUUUUGUUGGUUUUGUGACCCUGAUCCCAUGGGCAUGA